GACGAACGCUGGCGGCGUGCUUAACACAUGCAAGUCGAACGGUGAAGGGACCGGUUUUUUCUGGUUCUGGAUGAGUGGCGCACGGGUGAGUAACACGUGAGUAACCUGCUCCCUUCUUCUGGAAAACCGCAUGAAAGUGGGGCUAAUACGGGAUAUUCUGCGCCUGCUGCAGGGUGGGUGUGGGAAAGAUAUUUUUUCGGAGGGGGAGGGGGCCGCUGCCUAUCAGGUUGUUGGUGGGGGGCUGGCCUACCAAGGCGGUGACGGGUAGCCGGGCGGGGGGGGUGGACGGUCACGCUGGGGCUGAGGCACGGCCCCGACUCCUCCGGGACGCAGCCGUGGCGACUAUUGCACGCAGGGCGCAAGGCUGAUGCAGCGUCGCCGCGUGCGUGAUGGAGCCCUUCGGGUUGUAGACCUCUUUCGCCAGUGAAGCAGGCCUGUCCCUUUUGUGGGUGGGUUGACGGUAGCUAGCUAAAAAGCGCCGGCUAACUACGUG
rnacentral:rRNA from 1 species